CCUGGAGGGAGGACGGCCGCUCCGGAAGCCGAAUAGCCGCCGGAGAGGAAAGUCCAGACAGCACAGAGCGAGGUGCCCGGCGCAAGCCGGGAUCGGGCAACCGACUGGAUCGGGCCACAGAGACGUAGCCCCGCGCCCCGUGCGCGGGGGUGAAACGCGGUAACCCCCACCUGCUGCAACCUCAAGCAUGGCCGCCGACGCUGCUCGCCGAGGCCAGGGUAGAGGGCACCUCGUCGACCCACGUGCGGGCUCUGUCCGGCGCGGGAUCGACGAGGGUCGGUCUCACAACCGACAGAUAGAUGGCCGUCUAAAACAGGAUCUGGCUUACUCCCCUCCAGGCACC
rnacentral:RNase_P_RNA from 1 species